UACAGAGGGUGCGAGCGUUAAUCGGAAUUACUGGGCGUAAAGCGUGCGUAGACGGUUAUUUAAGUCGGAUGUGAAAGCCCCGGGCUCAACCUGGGAAUUGCAUUCGAGACUGAAUAGCUAGGGUGCGGUAGAGGGAAGCGGAAUUUCCGGUGUAGCGGUGAAAUGCGUAGAUAUCUGCAGGAACACCCGUGGCGAAGGCGGCUCUCUGGGACGGUACUGACGCUGAGACGCGAAAGCGUGGGGAGCGAACAGG
rnacentral:rRNA from 1 species